rnacentral:rRNA from 1 species
CCUACGGGAGGCAGCAGUGGGGAAUAUUGCACAAUGGGCGAAAGCCUGAUGCAGCGACGCCGCGUGAGCGAUGAAGUAUUUCGGUAUGUAAAGCUCUAUCAGCAGGGAAGAAGAAUGACGGUACCUGACUAAGAAGCACCGGCUAAAUACGUGCCAGCAGCCGCGGUAAUACGUAUGGUGCAAGCGUUAUCCGGAUUUACUGGGUGUAAAGGGAGCGCAGGCGGUACGGCAAGUCUGAUGUGAAAGCCCGGGGCUCAACCCCGGUACUGCAUUGGAAACUGUCGAACUAGAGUGUCGGAGGGGUAAGUGGAAUUCCUAGUGUAGCGGUGAAAUGCGUAGAUAUCAGGAGGAACACCAGUGGCGAAGGCGGCUUACUGGACGAUAACUGACGCUGAGGCUCGAAAGCGUGGGGAGCAAACAGGAUUAGAUACCCUGGUAGUCCACGCCGUAAACGGUGGGUACUAGGUGCGGGGUCCAUUCCACGGGUUCCGUGCCGUAGCUAACGCUUUAAGUACCCCGCCUGGGGAGUACGGCCGCAAGGCUAAAACUCAAAGGAAUUGACGGGGACCCGCACAAGCGGUGGAGCAUGUGGUUUAAUUCGAAGCAACGCGAAGAACCUUACCAAGUCUUGAUAUCCCGAUGACCAACUAUGUAAUGUAGUCUCUCUUCGGAGCAUCGGUGACAGGUGGUGCAUGGUUGUCGUCAGCUCGUGUCGUGAGAUGUUGGGUUAAGUCCCGCAACGAGCGCAACCCUUGUCCUUAGUAGCCAGCAUUUCGGAUGGGCACUCUAGGGAGACUGCCAGGGAUAACCUGGAGGAAGGCGGGGAUGACGUCAAAUCAUCAUGCCCCUUAUGACUUGGGCUACACACGUGCUACAAUGGCGUAAACAAAGGGAAGCGAAACCGUGAGGUCAAGCAAAUCUCGAAAAUAACGUCUCAGUUCGGAUUGUAGUCUGCAACUCGACUACAUGAAGCUGGAAUCGCUAGUAAUCGCGAAUCAGCAUGUCGCGGUGAAUACGUUCCCGGGCCUUGUACACACCGCC